rnacentral:rRNA from 1 species
AUUGAACGCUGGCGGCAGGCCUAACACAUGCAAGUCGAACGAGUGGCGGACGGGUGAGCAAUGUCUGGGAAACUGCCUGAUGGAGGGGGAUAACUACUGGAAACGGUAGCUAAUACCGCAUACCAUCAGAUGUGCCCAGAUGGGAUUAGCUAGUUGGUGGGGUAAAGGCCUACCAAGGCGACGAUCCGUAACUGGUCAGAGAGGAUGAACAGUCACACUGGAACUGAGACAUGGUCCAGACUCCUACGGUAGGCAGCAGUAGUGAAGAUUAGACAAUGGGCGAAAGCCUGAUGCAGCCAUGCCGCGUGUGUGAAGAAGGUCUUCGGAAUGUAAAGCACUUUAGGUUGGGAGGCGUUACCAACAGAGUCAGCACCGGCUAACUUCGUGCCAGCCGCCGCGGUAAUUC